GGGGAGUGCAUUUGCAUAAACACUGAAACAUCAGGGCCCCAGAGGACUUAGAGGGCACAAGAGAGCCCUGGGGAGCCCACGGUGCUGUGAGGUCUCACGAGGCAGAGCUCUGGGGCGUCUGCACCAUGGCCUGGACCCCUCUGCUGCUCCCCCUUCUCUCUCUCUGCACAGGUUCUGUGCUUUCCUCUGAGCUGACACAGCCUUCCUCGGUGUCUGUGGCCCUGGGACAGACGGCCACCAUCACCUGCCAGGGAGAUAUCUUCGUGCGAAUAGAUCAAUACAGGCUAUAUGGCAUUGAGGAAACAUAUUUUCUGAACUGGUACCAGCAGAAGCCUGGCCAGGCCCCUGUGCUGGUCAUUUACGAUAGCAGCAACCUGGCCCUCAGGGAUCCCUGACCGAUUCUCAGCCUCCAGCUCCGGGAAAACGGCCACCCUGACCAUCAGCGGGGCCCAGGCCCAGGUCAAGGCUGACUAUCACUGUCACAUCUGGGAGAG